rnacentral:rRNA from 1 species
AGUAACGGAGGAGCACGAAGGUUGGCUAAUCCUGGUCGGACAUCAGGAGGUUAGUGCAAUGGCAUAAGCCAGCUUGACUGCGAGCGUGACGGCGCGAGCAGGUGCGAAAGCAGGUCAUAGUGAUCCGGUGGUUCUGAAUGGAAGGGCCAUCGCUCAACGGAUAAAAGGUACUCCGGGGAUAACAGGCUGAUACCGCCCAAGAGUUCAUAUCGACGGCGGUGUUUGGCACCUCGAUGUCGGCUCAUCACAUCCUGGGGCUGAAGUAGGUCCCAAGGGUAUGGCUGUUCGCCAUUUAAAGUGGUACGCGAGCUGGGUUUAGAACGUCGUGAGACAGUUCGGUCCCUAUCUGCCGUGGGCGCUGGAGAACUGAGGGGGGCUGCUCCUAGUACGAGAGGACCGGAGUGGACGCAUCACUGGUGUUCGGGUUGUCAUGCCAAUGGCACUGCCCGGUAGCUAAAUGCGGAAGAGAUAAGUGCUGAAAGCAUCUAAGCACGAAACUUGCCCCGAG